rnacentral:tRNA from 1 species
AACAAAUUAKAGCUUGAUAGGAAGCAUUUCAUUUACACUGAAAAUUUUACUGUGCAAUUCAGUUUAGUUUGAU